rnacentral:rRNA from 1 species
UACAGAGGGGGGCAAGCGUUGUUCGGAAUUACUGGGCGUAAAGGGCGCGUAGGCGGCCUUCUAAGUCGAACGUGAAAUCCCCGGGCUCAACCCGGGAACUGCGUCCGAUACUGGAAGGCUUGAAUCCGGGAGAGGGAUGCGGAAUUCCAGGUGUAGCGGUGAAAUGCGUAGAUAUCGGGAAGAACACCCGUGGCGAAGGCGGCUCUCUGGGACGGUACUGGACGCUGAGACGCGAAAGCGUGGGGAGCGAACAGG